UAUCGAGUGUGGCCUAAAUGGUCACAUGGCACGAUAUUGCACUACACCUGCUUCGAGGUUGUGCCCUAUCUGCCAGCAACCUGGACAUUGGAAAUCACAAUGCCCCCGUGCAGGCUUGUCCUCUAUGCCAAGCCACGGAGGUCCGGCCUCAUCACCAUCAGCAAGUGAAACUGCCAGCCUUCAAAUGUCUCAGCCUUGCAGCAGAUUGAUGCUGCCCAAACGUGGUAUAUCCCAAAACCCUCUCCUAGCCUAGGGUCUGGUACAAGUGGCGGGUAAGUCCAUUACUUUUAUUUUCACUCGGGCCUUAAGUUUCCCUCACCAAGGACACUUAAAACUCUGCCACUGUCCUACAUUCUUGUAGAACAUUUUUUUCUCUUAUUCUUUCUUAGCGAUACUGGCUUGCCCAGCACAUUUACUGGGUGGAGAUAUUCUUAGCCGCUUCCCCACAGCUUGGAGCCCCUUUCAACCCGGCCCAUCUCCAUGAUUCUAUUUUACAGAUUCACUCAUCCUGCCAGACGUGUGCCCAGGCCAACCCACAAGGAGCUCUCCACAUACACAAGCUUCGUGGACACCAACUGGACAAAGAUUGGAUGGAUAGAAGUGUUUCCAGUCUCCAGGGAAACAGCAAAUGCGGUGGCUCAGACUCAUGGAGCUCGUGUCAGAAGCUCACAUCUCCUGGACAAUGGGAUUCAUCAAACAACAACCUACCAAGCUCUCCAUUGAACUAAGCCACCUGCCUUCUCAUCUCUUCCAAGGAACAGCUGCCUGCCUUCUCCGGGAUGACAGUUCAUGGGAUGCCUUUCCAGCCACACCUCGCUAAACGUGGACACCUGGCUCUCCCCUUCCCCAAGCUGCCCCGUACCCACAGGAAGUAGCCAGAUUUGAGUCUACACCCUUUUUCAAGAGAGCCUAAGUGUUUGUCAUAAAUACCAUUCCAAGUUUCUGUCACCCCUAUAGCCAAAGAGUCUAGAAUGUUAGGCUGGGAGCCUAGGCCCCAGUCCCUGGCAUCUAUCUCAGCCCCCAGGCAUGGUCUGGACUUCAAAUCCCAGCAGGCCAGUCAUGACCCCUCCCUGAGGGUGGGGUCAGGACCACUCCCCAGGUACUUAAGUGAUCCCCCAAAAGAAGAACACGUGGUCCCCCUUUCUUCCUCCCAGGGGUUGCUUUUCUGCGGCUUCCCGUUUCCCCCUCGGGGCCACCCGAGAGCGCAGAUCUUCCAUUAAACCUGGAUAUUUCUUUAUUCGGUUUGUUUUGA